UACGUAGGGUGCGAGCGUUAAUCGGAAUUACUGGGCGUAAAGCGUGCGCAGGCGGCGCGUUAAGACAGGUGUGAAAGCCCCGAGCUUAACUUGGGAAUUGCGCUUGUGACUGGCGAGCUGGAGUGUGGCAGAGGGAGGUGGAAUUCCACGUGUAGCAGUGAAAUGCGUAGAGAUGUGGAGGAACACCGAUGGCGAAGGCAGCCCCCUGGGUCAAGAUUGACGCUCAUGCACGAAAGCGUGGGGAGCAAACAGG
rnacentral:rRNA from 1 species